CAAAGUGGCUGCAAGUUGUCCCGUCGAGUCAGCUAGGUUUGUUGUUAGAUAACAAUGCUGCGAGAAUUGCUGUUGGUCUGCGUUUAGGAUCCCAAUUAUGCGAGGAGUAUAGGUGUGUCUGUGAUUUUCCAACUUUGUUACAGCCACCAGGAAUUUCUAGAGAUGACGGUAAAAGACCUGAUGGUAUGACUCUAAUUCCGUGGAGUCAUGGUAAAUCUCUUUUAUGGGAUGUGACAGUGCGUGAUACAUUGGCUCCUUCAUACAUUGGUGAAACUUCUAAAAAAGCACGCUCAGUUGCAGAGAAAGCGGAGAGAUUAAAGCAUAAUCAUUAUAGAAAACUUAAAGAAAAUUAUUUAUUCACCCCGCUUGCUUUUGAAUCUUUAGGUUGCAUGGGCCCAGAAACAAA